CUACGUGCCAGCAGCCGCGGUAAUACGUAGGGUGCAAGCGUUGUCCGGAAUUAUUGGGGCGUAAAGAGCUCGUAGGCGGUUUGUCGCGUCUGCUGUGAAAACCUGGGGCUUAACUCCGGGCCUGCAGUGGGUACGGGCAGACUAGAGUGCGGUAAGGGGAGACUGGAAUUCCUGGUGUAGCGGUGAAAUGCGCAGAUAUCAGGAGGAACACCGAUGGCGAAGGCAGGUCUCUGGGCCGUAACUGACGCUGAGGAGCGAAAGCGUGGGGAGCGAACAGGAUUAGAUACCCUGGUAGUCCACGCUGUAAACGUUGGGCGCUAGGUGUGGGGCUCAUUCCACGAGUUCCGCGCCGCAGCUAACGCAUUAAGCGCCCCGCCUGGGGAUUACGGCCGCAAGGCUAAAACUCAAAGGAAUUGACGGGG
rnacentral:rRNA from 1 species